rnacentral:rRNA from 1 species
GUGGGAGGCUUUGAAGUGUGGACGCCAGUCUGCAUGGAGCCGACCUUGAAAUACCACCCUUUAAUGUUUGAUGUUCUAACGUUGGCCCCUAAUCGGGGUUGCGGACAGUGUCUGGUGGGUAGUUUGACUGGGGCGGUCUCCUCCUAAAGAGUAACGGAGGAGCACGAAGGUUGGCUAAUCCUGGUCGGACAUCAGGAGGUUAGUGCAAUGGCAUAAGCCAGCUUGACUGCGAGCGUGACGGCGCGAGCAGGUGCGAAAGCAGGUCAUAGUGAUCCGGUGGUUCUGAAUGGAAGGGCCAUCGCUCAACGGAUAAAAGGUACUCCGGGGAUAACAGGCUGAUACCGCCCAAGAGUUCAUAUCGACGGCGGUGUUUGGCACCUCGAUGUCGGCUCAUCACAUCCUGGGGCUGAAGUAGGUCCCAAGGGUAUGGCUGUUCGCCAUUUAAAGUGGUACGCGAGCUGGGUUUAGAACGUCGUGAGACAGUUCGGUCCCUAUCUGCCGUGGGCGCUGGAGAACUGAGGGGGGCUGCUCCUAGUACGAGAGGACCGGAGUGGACGCAUCACUGGUGUUCGGGUUGUCAUGCCAAUGGCACUGCCCGGUAGCUAAAUGCGGAAGAGAUAAGUGCUGAAAGCAUCUAAGCACGAAACUUGCCCCG